CGCGGCUGUUUUGAAGUGGACUGAUGAACACAGCCUUGUUCUCAUCCACUGAUGAAGACUUCUUCACUGAAGGCAUAAUGCUGCAAUCAAAGGGUUUCAGUAAUCAUGCUCUUGAAGAGCUGGCACACUGUUGUCUGGUGUGACACACCUGUGGACAGAUUGUCCCAAACAUGCUCUCCUGCACUGGCUUCUGUGUUUUGGUAUUCCAGUUUAUCAUCGUCAUGAUCCUCACAACUUCUGGAUCAACAAUGUCCUCAUUCAGAAGACGGAGGUUGUGGAGCACUGCACAGCAUGCAGCAACAUCUGGCACAAAGGCAGGACUCACCAGCUUGUCUUCAGCAUCUCGAAGGCUCUCUCAACAAUGUUCCGUGCACAAGCAUCAUUGGUGUUGAAACAAAGCUGUAAAGGUUUCUGUACAGGCUGUCUGUAUGGUGUGAUGAGGCAGGUGGGUGCACUCAAGCAAGGACACUCACCAUCUCCCAGGAUGCAUUUUCCUGCAGGUGGAUACAGGCGGCCAGUGUAAACAGGGCUGUUCUCCAGCACCAUGGCAUCGUACACAGACCCAGGAUACUCAACAAAGAUAUCAAGGUACUUCCCCUGGUGGUGGCCUGCAGCUGAACAGAUUGAAACCAUUUCCUGUUGAAAUAACAUUGGGUUUCACUUGCCGGUGGUUCAAUUUGUAUGUGACAGCAUCUAUUGUUCCAGCUACCACAAGGAAACCUGGUCCCACUACCUCCAGGUCAUCUGCGGUGGAGAGGGCAAUCAGCCUCCUCAAAAUCUCCAUGACAGACCUGCUCAUUCUGUGCACAAUGUUAUGCAGCUCUUGGAUGUCGAAGGCCAGUGACAGCAGCCUUUAUGAUGCUGCUCACAGUCUGUAAAUAUGUCGGGGGUUUUUUAGAAUGUAAUUUCAAUAGGUUACACUACA